AUGUUACUUGCCCCGUCACUCCUGUCCCUCCCCUAUGCGAAGCUACAAAAAAAGGCGGCUCGCGCUCCGUCGCUCUCCGACUAUGUAUAUGAAUUCCCGGAGGGAAGAGGAGAGGACCAGACGAUGGCUGGUAGCAUGGCACCGCUCGGGGUGAAGAAGGAGAGGGCGGUGGAGUACAAGGGCCAAAUGACGUUCGCCGUUGCCCAGGCGUGCAUGGUCGCCGUUAUCGGGGGUUCCAUCUUCGGCUGCGACAUCGGGAUCUGCGGUAAACUACACAAGCACACACCUAGCUUGCAUAUACUACAAUCAUGUUGUUUCAUAUAUUUUAUCUCGGUUUAG
rnacentral:rRNA from 1 species